AUUGAACGCUGGCGGCAGGCCUAACACAUGCAAGUCGGGCGAGGGGCGGACGGGUGAGUUAUGUGUGAGGCUGUGCCUGAUGGAGGGGGAUCACUAGUGGACACGGUAGCAAAUCGCGCAUACCAUCAUGUGAACCCAUAUGGGUUUUGCGAGGAGGUGAGGUAACGGCUUACCUAGGCGACGAUCCCUAGCUGGUCUGAGAGGAUGAUCAGCCACACUGGGACUGAGACACGGCCCAGACUCCUACGGGAGGCAGCAGUGGGGAAUAUUGCACAAUGGGCGCAAGCCUGAUGCAGCCAUGCCGCGUGUAUGAAGAAGGCCUUCGGGUUGUAAAGUACUUUCAGUCGGGAGGCGUUACCGACAGAAGAAGCACCGGCUAACUCCGUGCCAGCAGCCGCGGUAAUUC
rnacentral:rRNA from 1 species